UACGAAGGGGGGCUAGCGUUGCUCGGAAUGACUGGGCGUAAAGGGCGCGUAGGCGGCUCAUACAGUCAGAUGUGAAAUUCCUGGGCUUAACCUGGGGGCUGCAUUUGAUACGUGUGGGCUUGAGUGGGGAAGAGGGUCGUGGAAUUCCCAGUGUAGAGGUGAAAUUCGUAGAUAUCAGGAGGAACACCGGUGGCGAAGGCGGCUCUCUGGACCACAACUGACGCUGAGGCGCGAAAGCGUGGGGAGCGAACAGG
rnacentral:rRNA from 1 species